UUAACAAGAGAGUUUGAUCCUGGCUCAGGAUAAACGCUGGCGGCGCACAUAAGACAUGCAAGUCGAACGGAAGUCGUUGUAAUGAUGUGGACAUGAACGGAGAACUUGUUCAAAGAGAGUGAAAAUUGACUUACAACAAUGGCUUUAGUGGCGGACUGGUGAGUAAUGUAUAAGUAACCUGCCUAUCAGAGGGGAACAACAGUUGGAAACGACUGCUAAUACCGCAUAUGCCAUAAGGGAGACAUCU
rnacentral:rRNA from 1 species